CAGUAGCCGCGGUAAUACGAAGGGUGCAAGCGUUACUCGGAAUUACUGGGCGUAAAGCGUGCGUAGGUGGUGGUUUAAGUCCGUUGUGAAAGCCCUGGGCUCAACCUGGGAAUUGCAGUGGAUACUGGAUCACUAGAGUGUGGUAGAGGAUAGUGGAAUUUCCGGUGUAGCAGUGAAAUGCGUAGAGAUCGGAAGGAACAUCUGUGGCGAAGGCGACUAUCUGGGCCAACACUGACACUGAGGCACGAAGGCGUGGGGAGCAAACAGGAUUAGAUACCCCCGUAGUCCCUGUCUCUUAUAC
rnacentral:rRNA from 1 species